GACGAACGCUGGCGGCGUGCUUAACACAUGCAAGUCGAACGGAAAGGCCCUGCUUUUGUGGGGUGCUCGAGUGGCGAACGGGUGAGUAACACGUGAGUAACCUGCCCUUGACUUUGGGAUAACUUCAGGAAACUGGGGCUAAUACCGGAUAGGAGCUCCUGCUGCAUGGUGGGGGUUGGAAAGUUUCGGCGGUUGGGGAUGGACUCGCGGCUUAUCAGCUUGUUGGUGGGGUAGUGGCUUACCAAGGCUUUGACGGGUAGCCGGCCUGAGAGGGUGACCGGCCAAGUUGGGACUGAUAUACCACCCAGACUCCUACGGGGGGCAGCAGUGGCGAAUAGUGCACAAUGGGCGGCCGCCUGAUGCAGCAACGCCGCGGGCGGGAUGACGGCCUUCGGGUUGUAAACCGCUUUCGCCUGGGACGAAGCGUGAGUGCCGGCCAUGGGUAAAGAAGCACCGCCUACCUACGUG
rnacentral:rRNA from 1 species